rnacentral:rRNA from 1 species
UACGGAGGGUGCAAGCGUUAUCCGGAUUCACUGGGUUUAAAGGGUGCGUAGGCGGGCAGGUAAGUCCGUGGUGAAAUCUCUGAGCUUAACUCAGAACUGCCAUGGAUACUAUUUGUCUUGAAUGUUGUGGAGGUAAGCGGAAUAUGUCAUGUAGCGGUGAAAUGCUUAGAUAUGACAUAGAACACCAAUUGCGAAGGCAGCUUACUACACAAAUAUUGACGCUGAGGCACGAAAGCGUGGGGAUCAAACAGG